GUGAGGAAUAUUGGUCAAUGGGCGCAAGCCUGAACCAGCCAUCCCGCGUGCAGGAAGACGGCGCUAUGCGUUGUAAACUGCUUUUCCAGGGAGAGAAACUUGCGCACGUGUUGCGCAAUUGACGGUACCCUGGGAAUAAGCAUCGGCUAACUCCGUGCCAGCAGCCGCGGUAAUACGGAGGAUGUGAGCGUUAUCCGGAGUCAUUGGGUUUAAAGGGUGCGUAGGCGGACUAUUAAGUCAGUGGUGAAAUCCUGCAGCUUAACUGCAGAACUGCCAUUGAUACUGAUAGCCUUGAGUUUGGUUAAGGUAGGCGGAAUGUGUAAUGUAGCGGUGAAAUGCUUAGAUAUUACACAGAACACCAAUUGCGUAGGCAGCUUACUGAGCCGACACUGACGCUGAGGCACGAAAGCGUGGGGAUCGAACAGGAUUAGAAACCCGAGUAGUCC
rnacentral:rRNA from 1 species